UUUUAAGUCUGAUGUGAAAGCCCACGGCUCAACCGUGGAGGGUCAUUGGAAACUGGAAAACUUGAGUGCAGAAGAGGAAAGUGGAAUUCCAUGUGUAGCGGUGAAAUGCGCAGAGAUAUGGAGGAACGCCAGUGGCGAAGGCGACUUUCUGGUCUGUAACUGACGCUGAUGUGCGAAAGCGUGGGGAUCAAACAGGAUUAGAU
rnacentral:rRNA from 1 species